ensembl:lncRNA
GUUAGAGGCAGGUAGCCUAGUGGUUAGAGACAGGUAGCCUAGUGGUUAGAGACAGGUAGCCUAGUGGUUAGAGACAGGUAGCCUAGUGUUUAGAGGCAGGUAGCCUAGUGGUUAGAGGCAGGUAGCCUAGUGGUUACAGGCAGGUAACCUAGUGGUUAGAGGCAAGUAGCCUAGUGGUUAGAGGCAGGUAGACUAGUGGUUAGAGGCAGGUAGCCUAGUGGUUAGAGUCAGGUAGCCUAGUGGUUAGAGGCAGGUAGCCUAGUGGUUAGAGGCUAUGGUUAGAGGCAGGUAGCCUAGUGGUUAGAGGCAGGUAGCCUAGUGGUUAGAGACAGGUAGCCUAGUGGUUAGAGGCAGGUAGCCUAGUGGUUAGAGACAGGUAGCCUAGUGGUUAGAGGCAGGUAGCCUAGUGGUUAGAGGCAGGUAGCCUAGUGGUUAGAGGCAGGUAGCCUAGUGGUUAGAGGCAGGUAGCCUAGUGGUUAGAGGCUAUGGUUAGAGGCAGGUAGCCUAGUGGUUAGAGGCAGGUAGCCUAGUGGUUAGAGACAGGUAGCCUAGUGGUUAGAGGCAGGUAGCCUAGUGGUUAGAGGCUAUGGUUAGAGGCAGGUAGCCUAGUGGUUAGAGGCAGGUAGCCUAGUGGUUAGAGACAGGUAGCCUAGUGGUUAGAGGCAGGUAGCCUAGUGGUUAGAGACAGGUAGCCUAGUGGUUAGAGGCAGGUAGCCUAGUGGUUAGAGGCAGGUAGCCUAGUGGUUAGAGGCAGGUAGAGUAGUGGUUAGAGGCAGGUAGACUAGUGGUUAGAGGCAAGUAGCCUAGUGGUUAGAGGCAGGUAGACUAGUGGUUAGAGCAUUGGGCCAGUAACCGAAAAGUUACUCGAUCAAAUCCCCCCUGAGCCGACAAGGUAAAAAUCUAUCAUUCUGCCCCUGAACAAGGCAGUUAACCCACUCUUCCCCCGGUAGGCCGUCAUUGUAAAUAAGAAUUAGUUCUUAACUGACUUGCCUAGUUAAAUAUAUAUAUAUAUAUAUAUAUAUAUAUAUAUAUAUAUUUUAAUACUGUCGCUCCCCACGGAUUAAACAAACUAGAGCUGAACUGUUUUCUCUAGUGUACCUACCUUUUUACUGAUCAGUAUUUUGUGUAAUUCUUUGCCGAAGCUGACUUUUUGAUCACCGCCUUUGUGUGCUUCUUGUGUGUGUUUUAAUAUAAUGUAUUUUAACAAACCAGUGCGUCUGUUACGUACGCAACUCUUACAUAGUGUCCCUUUACGCA